GACGAACGCUGGCGGCGUGCCUAAUACAUGCAAGUAGAACGCACAGUUUAUACCGUAGCUUGCUACACCAUAGACUGUGAGUUGCGAACGGGUGAGUAACGCGUAGGUAACCUGCCUGGUAGCGGGGGAUAACUAUUGGAAACGAUAGCUAAUACCGCAUAAUAUUAAUUAUUGCAUGAUAAUUAAUUGAAAGGUGCAAUUGCACCACUACCAGAUGGACCUGCGUUGUAUUAGCUAGUAGGUGAGGUAACGGCUCACCUAGGCGACGAUACAUAGCCGACCUGGGAGGGUGAUCGGCCACACUGGGACUGAGACACGGCCCAGACUCCUACGGGAGGCAGCAGUAGGGAAUCUUCGGCAAUGGACGAAAGUCUGACCGAGCAACGCCGCGUGAGUGAAGAAGGUUUUCGGAUCGUAAAGCUCUGUUGUAAGAGAAGAACGGGUGUGAGAGUGGAAAGUUCACACUGUGACGGUAUCUUACCAGAAAGGGACGGCUAACUACGUG
rnacentral:rRNA from 1 species